AUUUUGUUUGGAGACUGCUAACUAGGGAAGAAAAAAAUAGAUUAUGUAAAUUUACAGUAUUAAAGAAAUAGAAAGCAUUAAACAUUAUUUGGUAUCCCUUACCAAUCAGUUUUUUUCUACUGGAAUAUUAGCAUGUAAAUACACACGAUUUUGGAUUUUUGGUCAAAAAAAGUGAAUUGGUCAAAUACACUGCUUAUGGGAUGAUUGAAAAGUGUUAAGCCUAAAAUACCAUCAGAAUAUUAACUUUAUGACUGUAUAUAGGAUCAAUGUUCCAAAUAAUUACUACGAUACAUAGCGUGGAAAUAGACUUGCCCUCCCUUCACCCCCAAGGAAUUGAGUAAUUGGUCAGAAAUCUGGGAAUCUACUGGAUCACUAACUAUUUGUGUCACACACAGGGUGCAAGCUUUUAAGAUGUUUUUGUUAGAUGGUACUUAAAACCUGUUAGACUUAACAAAUUAAAUCUUUGUGGGAAACUAUGCAGGAAGAUGGGCACCUUCCUACACUAUUGGUGGACUUGCCAUAAACUAAAACCUUUUUGGAACAAGCCCAAGCACUACUCUAACAAGUAUUGGGAAAACCGUUCCUACUUGAACCUUGGGCUCUUUUACUCUCAAACCCUUGAGACCAGCUCACCAGAAAUAAAAAUAAAUUAGCAGUUAGGAUAGCACUGACAGCAUGAAGAGCAAUAGGAGAACUAUGGGUAAAAAGUUGAGUACCCUCCUCCACCACUGCAAUCCGCAAGAUUAAAGAAGCACUAGACAUGGACAGACUGACUGCUCAACUGAAUGGCACCCCUAAAUCAUUCAUUUUGGAUCCCUGGCUACCCAAUGGAAUCUGACCCCCCUCGGGUUAUAUUCCAUGUAGAACUUUUCAUAGACCCACCAUCACCCAACACUAUUUGAGACAAGUUGUUUCCUUUCCUAGCCCCUUCCUUCUCUCCUUCAUCCUAUCUCUACACCUUCCAAUCGUCAAACUUCUCUAACCUUCUCUUAUCUUUCUUUCUUUCUACACAUGUAAAUAGUUUCACAUCCCACAUUCUUCCCACUACCUUCCCCAAUGUCCAGGUUCAAUAUAUAUAUAUUUCUAAUUCUCAAACCCAGACUAUUAACCAGCCAGCAUUAUUAGAAUCUGUCAGAAAAUACUCCAGAUUUUGGUUAGCAACUCUCCCACCUGUUUAUUGUCCUUAUUCAAUUACAAUCCCUCCCUUUCAUGUAUCACCUAUGUAAGUACAUUGUAUUCAAAUCUUUGCAAAUUCGGUAAAGCCUAUAUUGUAAAUUUCAUGCUUCCUUAUUGUUGUACACCUAUUUUUUUUUUUUUACAAAACUUAAAAAAAGUUAUUUAAAUAAAUAAAGGAAAAUAUUGCUCAUAAGGGUUGAAUAUAGUUGCUUAAAUAAAACCAGUCAUAUAUACUUUGUUGGUCAUUACAAGCAGUUUGUAUGUAAGCCCUGGGGUGUGCUCAGAAAUGCAGCCUUGCAUUUUUGAGUAUUCUGCUGGAACACAAGGUCUGACUACAGCCUCAGUAAAUAUUUCCUAACAUAUUUAUUUAAUUUGCACAAUCAAUUUGUUUAUUGUAUAUUGUUUUAGAGAUGUCCAGUUAUUUGGAAUAAAACCAAUUGGUGUACAACCUGCACAGCCAAGUACCUGUCAAAAACCUGCAUUCUUUCCUUUAUAACCCUAUAUAAUACACUGAACAAAAUUAUAAAUGCAACACUUUUGUUUUUGUCCUCAUUUUUCAUGAGCUGAACCUAAAGACUUUUUCUUAAAGACUUUCAGUUUUCUUUGAGUUCAGCUCAUGAAAAAUGGAGGCAAAAACAAAAGUGUUGCGUUUUUAAUUUUGUUCAGUGUAAUUGUUUUUUCUGCGUAUUUGAAGUACAUGGGGUUCUGUCAAGUGAAAUUACACAUGAAAUACGCCUACUUGCAAUGAUUGCUUUUCUUUUAUCUUACCAAUGUGAAGUAAUUUGUUAAUGAUUGGUGAAGCCAUAGUAAAGGAUUGGUCAGUAGAUAAACACUGUAUUUAUUUUUUUUCGUUUUAUUUGAAAGCCAUUUAAUAAAGCAUACAACAGCUGAAUAUGUCACGUAAAACCAGUCUAUUGGAAACAUUAAUGUUGCAUGCAUUACUAAAUGAUAUAUAUUACAUACAUUAGUUUUUAUAU